GUGCUAGCUUCGGCAGCACAUACACUAAAAUUGGAACGAUACAGAGAUUAGCAUAGCCCCUGUGCAAGGAUGACAUGCAAAUUCAUGAAGCUUCCAUAGGGGGU
rfam:Erinaceus europaeus unplaced genomic scaffold scaffold00556, whole genome shotgun sequence